AGCGAACGCUGGCGGCAGGCUUAACACAUGCAAGUCGAGCGGGCAUCUUCGGAUGUCAGCGGCAGACGGGUGAGUAACACGUGGGAACGUACCCUUCGGUUCGGAACAACUCUGGGAAACUGGAGCUAAUACCGGAUACGCCCUUAUGGGGAAAGGUUUACUGCCGAAGGAUCGGCCCGCGUCUGAUUAGCUAGUUGGUGGGGUAACGGCCUACCAAGGCGACGAUCAGUAGCUGGUCUGAGAGGAUGAUCAGCCACACUGGGACUGAGACACGGCCCAGACUCCUACGGGAGGCAGCAGUGGGGAAUAUUGGACAAUGGGCGCAAGCCUGAUCCAGCCAUGCCGCGUGAGUGAUGAAGGCCUUAGGGUUGUAAAGCUCUUUUGUCCGGGACGAUAAUGACGGUACCGGAAGAAUAAGCCCCGGCUAAUUUCGUG
rnacentral:rRNA from 1 species